rnacentral:snoRNA from 1 species
GCAACUAAAAUCAGUGAAUGCCUGCCCGCCAGCAGCAUCUCGCUUUUGCAUUGUUGCUAGAGUAAUCUGCUGGACAAGUUCAUCAGCUGAGUGCAGUCUCCA